rnacentral:rRNA from 1 species
GAUGAACGCUAGCUACAGGCUUAACACAUGCAAGUCGAGGGGCAGCAUGAUCUUAGCUUGCUAAGAUUGAUGGCGACCGGCGCACGGGUGAGUAACGCGUGGGUAACCUGCCCUGUACAGGGGGAUAACAGUUGGAAACGACUGUUAAUACCGCAUAAGACCACAGCACCGCAUGGUGCAGGGGUAAAAACUCCGGUGGUACAGGAUGGACCCGCGUCCAAUUAGCUAGUUGGUGAGGUAACGGCCCACCAAGGCGACGAUUGGUAGCCGGCCUGAGAGGGUGAUCGGCCACAUUGGGACUGAGAUACGGCCCAGACUCC